UAUCAGCACCAUAAUUAUCCACGCAUUGGUCCCAACCACGUGACGGCCAGGCCAAUGAGGAUUGAAAAUGGCCUUGAUGAUUCAGACGCUGGUGACGUCACCGGGGUCAAGUUGUCGGGAGAGGAGAAAACCAGCGUGGAGCAACAGCGACAUCUAUCAGUUUCGGAAGGGUAGAGAACCCGGGACCUUCACGUUGAACAAAGGAGAGAGAGAGAGAGAGAGAGAGAGAGAGAGAGAGAGACCCUUUCCCUCGCGUUUGUUUACCAAUGAACGAACGCGUGUCUACAGCAGAGUGGGGGGAAAAUAAAGGAAGCCAACGCGUAAAUAGAAGCAAAGUCAAAUUCAAAUUAAAAGCCACAGACGGCCAAGAAAUUUCCAGCGCAUUCGACGUUGUACCCAUAUCCCUGAAGACUUGACAAAGAGUGUUUCAAAUGUGUAAAGCUGGUGAAGAUUAAAAAAAAAUAAUAAAGCACGGGUGGUGUUUACUGGC